rnacentral:rRNA from 1 species
GGCAAAAUGAGAGUCCAACUGUCUCUUAUAACAAAUCAAUCAAACUGAUCUUCCAGUACAAAAGCUGGAAUUUUCCCAUAAGACCAGAAGACCCUGUGAAGCUUUAAUUAACCUAUUAAACCAUAUAAUAACUAAUUUAGGUUGGGGCGACCUUGGAACAAAAUUAAACUUCCAAAUAUAUGCCUUACACAUAUAAUAAGGCAAACAAGCCAUAAUUAGACCCAGUAUACCUGAUAAAUGAACCAAGUUACUCCAGGGAUAACAGCGCUAUCUUCUUCAAGAGCCCAUAUCAAAAAGAAGGUUUACGACCUCGAUGUUGGAUCAGGACAUCCUAGUAAUGCAGUCGUUACUAAGGGUUCGUUUGUUCAACGAUUAACAGUCCUACGUGA